rnacentral:sRNA from 1 species
GGGAGAGCAGAGCUCACCGCAGGUCUGGCCCCCCACCAGCUGUGCAGACCGCCGUGGGCCUCUACAGAAAGAACCCAGUGGGCCCCCACCAGCCCCCGAUCCCCAAGACCCCGGCACUCACUGUGCCUUGGUUACGGGGUGAAUAAUUUAGACCGCUGAGUGUCAGUCAUGAAAUAUUCAACAGCCUGUUCCUGACGCAGCAGCAUGGGAGUGAAUGCCCAAACCAAGAACGGUGCCACGCCCCUGUACCUGGCGUGCCAGGAGGGCCACCUGGAGGUGACCCAGUACCUGGUGCAGGAAUGCGGCGCAGACCCGCACGCGCGCGCCCACGACGGCAUGACCCCGCUGCACGCCGCGGCGCAGAUGGGCCACAGCCCAGUCAUCGUGUGGUUGGUGAGCUGCACCGACGUGAGCCUGUCCGAGCAGGACAAAGACGGCGCCACCGCCAUGCACUUCGCGGCGAGCCGCGGCCACACCAAGGUGCUCAGCUGGCUGCUGCUGCACGGCGGGGAGAUCUCGGCUGACCUGUGGGGCGGGACCCCGCUGCACGACGCCGCCGAGAACG